AUUGUGUUUUGAUGUGCGUUUGAUUUGUACCAUUAUUUUCUCCCUUAGUGGCCAUACUGUGAGAAACGCUGUACUUACUGCAACUUCAACAAGUACAUUCAACGUUCUGAUAAUGAGGAUGCCAUUCGAGCAUGUCUUUUAAAAGAAGCUUCUACAUUGAUACAACUCAGCCAGGUCAGAAGGUAAGCAUCCUCUCCAAAUGGCUAUUGUUGGGUAUCCUCUUCACUACCAAAAAUAUGUAUUGAUAAACUUUACUUCUAUUUUAUUUGCAAAACAAAGUUUAAUGCCUAAAGCCCCACUUACCAAUAUUUAUGUUCAUAAAAUGACUACCAGCAUUUAGAGGAACGACAUUCCCUGCCAGAAACCAAUUCAACCCAUUUAAUUGACACUAUAGUCACCCAAACAACUUUUAACUUAAUGAAGCAGUUUUGGUGUAUAGACUGUGCCCCUGCAGUCUCACUGCUCAAUUCUUUGCCAUUUAGGAGUUAAAUCACUUUGUUUAUACAGCCCUAGACACAUCUCCCUGCAUGUAACUUGCACAGCCUUCCUAAACACUUCCUGUAAAGAGUCAUCUAAUGUUUACACUUCCUUUAUUGCAGGUUAUGUUUAAUUUUGUAUUUCUUACCUCCUGCUCUGUUAAAGGACCACUAUAGUGCCAGCAAAACAUACUCGUUUUCCUGGCACUAUAGUGUCCUGAGGGUGCCCCCACCCUCAGUGUCCCCCUCCCGCCGGGCUCUAGGGGGUGGAAGGGGUUAAACUUACUUCUUUCUCCAGCGCUGGGUGGGGAGCUCUCCUCCUCCUCUCCUCCCUCUUUCUCAAUGCUUUCCUAUGGACGUCCAGCGUCUUCUCACUGUGAUUUUCACUCUGACCCCCUCGCCCCACCCCCUCCAUGAAGUUAUAAAGGAAGUGUCAAAGAUAAUGCCAUUGCUGCAGGGAUUGCUAUAAAAUGUUUAAUUACUUUUAUUUUACAAAUAUAUGAACUGUACUUAUUGAUUAUUGGCAUUAUGCUUACAUGCAAACAUUCUUUUUCAUUUAUCCCAUUUCUCUCUCCAACUACAGUUCACAUAAUAAAUAUAACAUUACAUUAAUAUUUCAGAACUUGGGUGGAAUUAUUGCAAAAAAAAAAAAAAGAAUUCAGAAUACUGUAUUGUGUACAUUUGUCAGCAUCCCCAGUACCAAGAUUGUAUAUAUUGCUUUAAUUUCUUUUACAUUUAGUAUUUCCUCUGUGUAUUUUGGAGGUGGUACACCCAACCUUGCCAGCCCUCAUACCAUUGGUGCCAUUUUAGAAGUGAUAUCACAAAAUGCUUUGCUGCAACAAGAUGCUGAAGUUACUCUGGAGGUUAACCCUGCAUCCAUUCAAAAUAGUAAACUGCACCUCUUCCGUGAAGUUGGGGUGAAUCGAGUGUCUGUUGGGGUACAG